rnacentral:rRNA from 1 species
AUAUUGGACAAUGGGCGAAAGCCUGAUCCAGCCAUGCCGCGUGAGUGAUGAAGGCCCUAGGGUUGUAAAGCUCUUUCAGCGGGGAAGAUAAUGACGGUACCCGCAGAAGAAGCCCCGGCUAACUUCGUGCCAGCAGCCGCGGUAAUACGAAGGGGGCUAGCGUUGCUCGGAAUCACUGGGCGUAAAGCGCACGUAGGCGGAUCGUUAAGUCAGGGGUGAAAGCCCGGAGCUCAACUCCGGAACUGCCCUUGAUACUGGCGAUCUUGAGUUCGGGAGAGGUGAGUGGAACUGCGAGUGUAGAGGUGAAAUUCGUAGAUAUUCGCAAGAACACCAGUGGCGAAGGCGGCUCACUGGCCCGAUACUGACGCUGAGGUGCGAAAGCGUGGGGAGCAAACAGG